AUACGGAGGAUGCGAGCGUUAUCCGGAUUUAUUGGGUUUAAAGGGUGCGCAGGCGGGCGAUUAAGUCAGCGGUGAAAGGCUCGGGCUCAACCGGAGCAGUGCCGUUGAUACUGGUUGUCUUGAAUGCGGUCAAGGCCGGCGGAAUGUGGCGUGUAGCGGUGAAAUGCAUAGAUAUGCCACAGAACACCGAUAGCGAAGGCAGCUGGCCGGGCCUGCAUUGACGCUGAGGCACGAAAGCGUGGGGAUCGAACAGGAUUAGAUACCCUGGUAGUCCACGCUGUAAACGAUGGACACUCGUUGUCGGCGACAGACAGUCGGCGGCCAAGCGAAAGUGAUAAGUGUCCCACCUGGGGAGUACGGUCGCAAGACUGAAACUCAAAGGAAUUGACGGGG
rnacentral:rRNA from 1 species